rnacentral:rRNA from 1 species
UGCGUAGGUGGUGAGGUGUGUCGGAUGUGAAAUCUCGGAGCUCAACUCCGAAACUGCAUUGGAAACUACCUUGCUAGAGGGUUGGAGGGGGGACUGGAAUACUUGGUGUAGCAGUGAAAUGCGUAGAUAUCAAGUGGAACAACAGUGGCGAAGGCGAGUCCCUGGACAACUCCUGACACUGAGGCACGAAAGCUAGGGGAGCAAACA